rnacentral:rRNA from 1 species
AUUGAACGCUGGCGGCAGGCUUAACACAUGCAAGUCGAGCGGAGAUGAGGUGCUUGCACCUUAUCUUAGCGGCGGACGGGUGAGUAAUGCUUAGGAAUCUGCCUAUUAGUGGGGGACAACAUUCCGAAAGGAAUGCUAAUACCGCAUACGUCCUACGGGAGAAAGCAGGGGAUCUUCGGACCUUGCGCUAAUAGAUGAGCCUAAGUCGGAUUAGCUAGUUGGUGGGGUAAAGGCCUACCAAGGCGACGAUCUGUAGCGGGUCUGAGAGGAUGAUCAGCCACACGGGGACUGAUACACGGCCCAGACUACUACGGGAGGCAGCAGUUGGGAAUAUUGGACGAUGGGGGGAACCCUGAUCCAGCCAUGCCGCGUGUGUGAAGAAGGCCUUAUGGUUGUAAAUCACUUUAAGCGAGGAGGAGGCUACUGAGACUAAUACUCUUGGAUAGUGGACGUUACUCGCAGAAUAAGCACCGGCUAACUCUGUGCCAGCCGCCGCAGUAAAAC